AGAGUUUGAUUAUGGCUCAGAUUGAACGCUGGCGGCGUGCUUAACACAUGCAAGUCGAGCGAGAAAGCUCUCUUCGGAGGGCGAUCUUGGGCGUCGAGUGGCGGACGGGUGAGUAACGCGUGGGAAUCUACCCUUUAGUUGGGGACAACAUAUGGAAACGUAUGCUAAUACCGAAUAUGCUCUACGGAGUAAAGGUGGCCUCUACUUGUAAGCUAUCGCUAAAGGAUGAGCCCGCGUUAGAUUAGCUAGUUGGUGGGGUAAAGGCCUACCAAGGCGACGAUCUAUAGCUGGUUUGAGAGGAUGAUCAGCCACACUGGGACUGAGACACGGCCCAGACUCCUACGGGAGGCAGCAGUGGGGAAUAUUGCACAAUGAGGGAAACCUUGAUGCAGCCAUGCCGCGUGUGUGAAGAAGGCCCGAGGGUUGUAAAGCACUUUCAAUUGUGAGGAAAGGUUAGUCGCUAAUAUCGGCUAGCUGUGACGUUAACUUUAGAAGAAGCACCGGCUAACUCUGUGCCAGCAGCCGCGGUAAUACAGAGGGUGCAAGCGUUAUUCGGAAUUACUGGGCGUAAAGCGCGCGUAGGCGGACUGUUAAGUCGGUUGUGAAAGCCCUGGGCUCAACCUAGGAAUUGCAUCCGAUACUGGCAAUCUAGAGUUUAGGAGAGGGAAGUGGAAUUCCUGGUGUAGCAGUGAAAUGCGUAGAUAUCAGAGGAACAUCAGUGGCGAAGCGACUUCCUGGCCUAAAACUGACGCUGAGGUGCGAAAGCGUGGGUAGCGAACGGGAUUAGAUACCCUGGUAGUC
rnacentral:rRNA from 1 species